rnacentral:rRNA from 1 species
AUACGGAGGGUCCAAGCGUUAUCCGGAAUCAUUGGGUUUAAAGGGUCCGCAGGCGGUCAAUUAAGUCAGAGGUGAAAGCCCAUCGCUCAACGAUGGAACUGCCUUUGAUACUGGUUGACUUGAGUUAUACGGAAGUAGAUAGAAUAAGUAGUGUAGCGGUGAAAUGCAUAGAUAUUACUUAGAAUACCGAUUGCGAAGGCAGUCUACUACGUAUAUACUGACGCUGAGGGACGAAAGCGUGGGGAGCAACCAGGAUUAGAAACCCUAGUAGUCC